rnacentral:rRNA from 1 species
AACGAACGCUGGCGGCAGGCCUAACACAUGCAAGUCGAACGCCGUAGCAAUACGGAGUGGCAGACGGGUGAGUAACGCGUGGGAACAUACCCCUCGGUUCGGAAUAACUCAGGGAAACUUGAGCUAAUACCGGAUACGUCCGAGGUUUUAAUCGGCCUUGGAGAAAGAUUUAUCGCCGGAGGAUUGGCCCGCGUCUGAUUAGCUUGUUGGUGAGGUAAUGGCUCACCAAGGCGACGAUCAGAGCUGGUCUGAGAGGAUGAUCAGCCACAUUGGGACUGAGACACGGCCCAAACUCCUACGGGAGGCAGCAGUGGGGAAUAUUGGACAAUGGGCGAAAGCCUGAUCCAGCCAUGCCGCGUGAGUGAUGAAGGCCUUAGGGUUGUAAAGCUCUUUUACCCGGGAAGAUAAUGACGGUACCGGGAGAAUAAGCCCCGGCUAACUUCGUGCCAGCAGCCGCAGUAAG